rnacentral:rRNA from 1 species
UACGUAGGGGGCUAGCGUUGUCCGGAAUCAUUGGGCGUAAAGAGCGUGUAGGCGGCUCGGUAAGUCCGCUGUAAAAGUCAAAGGCUCAACCUUUGAAUGUCAGUGGAUACUGCCGGGCUAGAGUCCGGAAGAGGCGAGUGGAACUCCUGGUGUAGCGGUGGAAUGCGCAGAUAUCAGGAAGAACACCAACGGCGAAGGCAGCUCGCUGGGACGGUACUGACGCUGAGACGCGAAAGCGUGGGAGCGAACAGG